UCCAUAUCAAGGACAGCCCAUAACAGA
rnacentral:piRNA from 1 species